UUUCCCUCUCCUCUCUCUUUUCUCCUCUCCUCAACGGCGGCUGGUAGUGGGUGCCAUAGGCAGGCUCCUGCUUGCCGCGUUCACCCCUGCCGGUCGUGGGUGCCCUCGGCCGGCUCCUGCUUGCCGCGUCCGCCCCCUGGUGGUCGGUCGUGGCCGCGUCCGGCCCCCUGGCAGUGGAUAACUCGCUUGCCGGUCGUGGGUGCCGUUUAGGCAGGCUCCUGCUUGCCGCGCCCGCCCCCUGGUGGCCGGGUGUGGCCGCGUCCGGCCCCUAGUAGUGGAUAAAUCACUUGAUCCAACGCAUGUGCUUGAGUUCGUAGUGCUUCAGGGAUCUAUUUCCGUUUCUCCCUUGUUUUUUUCGUCUGUGUUUGGUUUUGGGAUGUGCCCAGUCUUUUUGUAGUUGUGACAUCGAAUGAGUUUUAGUUUGCAGCUGAAUUUAAUUGUGUCAAGCUGGGCGUCGUGAGGAGGGCUGCUGGUGGGCGUCGUGAGGAGGGUUGCUGGUGCAGGAUUAGUAGUGCAUUGGCAAAUAGGUAGAGCCUAAUCAGGAAUUUCGAAGUUUAAUUUGUGAGGGAGCAAAUGUUCUUCCUUCAAAGUUUAUGGAAGAUGCUUUUCGUGAUGGAUAUGGAAAAGAAGAUUUGAUGGGGAAGAUAGUUUGUGGAAAAAGAAGAUGAGUUGAUGUAUGUAUUGUUUAUUUUGAAAAAACUUUAUAACUUUUAGGUGGUGUUGGAUUUGUUUGUAUUACUUUUUGAAGUAUUGGACUUGUAUAAGUUCUUGGGGUCUUGAAGAAGCAAGUUCUUAUAUAACUUUUGAGAACUUUGGAUUUAUAUUAUUGUAAAAUUGAUUUCAAA